rnacentral:lncRNA from 1 species
AAUACCAUGCCCCAAUGGGAACCAGGCUCUUGCCCUUCUUCAAGCAAUGGUUCAUCACAAUCUUUCAUUUUCAAGUACAAAAUCUCUUCAUCAAGAAAAUCAUAUUGCACUGACUGAUAAUCUUCAAUUGGUUGGUGAGCCAAAUGGUCAGCCAAGAUACUACCUUUGAUCGCUUUCUGAGAUCAGUAUUCGAUAUCAUGCUCUGAUAACAACAUCUGCCAAUGGGCAAUCCUCC